ACCCAGAUCUCACCUUGUAGCUCCCAUAAUUCUCGCAUGUUGUGGGAGGGACCUGAUGAAAGAUGAUUGAAUCAUGGGGGUGGGUCUUUCCUGUGCUGUUCUCAUGAUAGUGAAUGGGUCUCACGAAAUCUGAUGGUUUUUAAAACAGGAGUUUCUCUACACAAGCGCUCUCUUUGGCUGCUGCCAUCCACUUGCUCCUCCUUGCCUUCCGCCAUGAUUGUGAGGCCUCCCUGGCCAUGUAGAACUAGUUUGCCUACCUUUGAUUGUGAAACUGAAAUCGAACUCCUCAGCAAAGUAUCUGAGGCCCUCCACGAUCUUGCUGUGCUUCUGAUUCAGACUUUCAGCUUCAUCUCUCCAUAAACACUCAUUUUGAACAUUUUUCUCAUUCCCAGCACCUGCCAACAUUUUAAACAGUUCUUUGCACCCCCUUCUCCCUAUACGUAGAGUGCUCAGAUUCCCACCCACUCCUUUUGACAAGCUCUCUUCAAGGCUCCGGUGAGAAGAAGAUAAGCAAAGAAAGAAGCAGAGAAAGAAAACACAUACCAUACACAUACAUGAGUGAAUCGAACAAAAGAAAUGUCACAAAACUGGGUUCCAUCCCAUUAAAGAGACUGUCCAGAACAACAGCAGAGCCCAUGAAGAAGCUUCAAAGCUGCUCCAGCAUGGGCAAAGGGAAAAACUGCUGUUGAGCCUCAUGGGAUUUUAUCUCUAGAGCAGAUGCACAAGCAGCCAAAGAGUGGCGGAACAAUGUAAGUGACUCCUGAUAUGCAGAAAACAUAAGACCAUCUUUCCAUUUCUGAGUGAUAAGCUUUAUAUCUAUAGUCCAGACCUCCCUCUCUCACACAUGUGCGCAAACACGUGCCACGCACACA